GUGAUUUUCUAUCUAAAUAUCCAGCAGGAGCUGCAGCUGGUGAGCGUCUGUGCCCUGCUGAUUGCGUGCAAGUACGAAGAGAUUUGGGCUCCAGAGGUGAACGACUUCAUAUUGUUCUCCGACAACACAUAUACUAGGGAGCAGAUUCUGAGGAUGGAGAAGGCAAUCCUGAACAUGCUUGAGUGGAACCUGACAGUGCCCACACCUUACGUCUUCCUCUUCAUCAGUUCGUCGGAAAAAUAUAUCAUCUACAAAGAAGAAUUGCAAUCUGGUAAUGUGAAGUAUGUUGUAGUCUAUACCUGUAGAGUGCAUUUUUGUAGUGCUGGUAGUCGGUACAUCCAACGACAACGAGUAGGCGACAAGUGUACGUGUGAGCAGCCGGAUAGUAGCAUGAAGCAGUUGAGUAGCUGUCCGUGGUGA
rnacentral:rRNA from 1 species